rnacentral:rRNA from 1 species
GAUGAACGCUGGCGGCGUGCCUAAUACAUGCCAGUAGAACGCUGAAGCUUGGUGCUUGCACCGAGCGGAUGAGUUGCGAACGGGUGAGUAACGCGUAGGUAACCUGCCUGGUAGCGGGGGAUAACUAUUGGAAACGAUAGCUAAUACCGCAUAACAGUAGAUAUUGCAUGAUAUCUGCUUGAAAGGUGCAAAUGCAUCACUACCAGAUGGACCUGCGUUGUAUUAGCUAGUUGGUGAGGUAACGGCUCACCAAGGCGACGAUACAUAGCCGACCUGAGAGGGUGAUCGGCCACACUGGGACUGAGACACGGCCCAGACUCCUACGGGAGGCAGCAGUAGGGAAUCUUCGGCAAUGGGGGGAACCCUGACCGAGCAACGCCGCGUGAGUGAAGAAGGUUUUCGGAUCGUAAAGCUCUGUUGUAAGAGAAGAACGAGUGUGAGAGUGGAAAGUUCACACUGUGACGGUAUCUUACCAGAAAGGGACGGCUAACUACGU